CUCGUUGAGGGCUACAAUUCAUUCUUCUCUCUCUCCCUCUGUUCCUCUCCCAUCCUAACCUCCAAACUCUUUCUUUUCCCUCAGUUCACCGCAUCCAACAUUUCCUGAGGGCUGGACUCUGGGAGAUGGAGAAAACCUGCUCCAGAGGGUCUGCAGUCAAGAGCCAGUGCUCCAGGUGACUGCAGCCACAUGAGUGACUCCAGCUGAGACCAAGAGAAGAACUGCCCGACCAAUUCAGGACUCCCAGAAUCAUAAGCAAAUAACGCGACUGUUGUUUCAAGCUACCACGAUUUGGAAGGUCACCUUUAUGCUGCCUGGAACUACGAUGUGAUGCCUGGAGUUCUGGCAGCCAUUUUGACAAGAGGACAAGGACAGUGACGAUGGUGGAACUAAGAGCUGGAAGGUGCCUGAGUCUCCGGUGAUGAUGUGGAGCUGCCUCAAAAGCCCUGAAUGCCUACUUCUGGACUCAUCUUAGAGCUACUCAUGGGGCUCCCUGCUUCCAUGCCUGCCUCCCCUCAGGCCAUUCUCCACACAGCAGCCAG